rnacentral:rRNA from 1 species
ACGGCAGCACGGGUGCUUGCACCUGGUGGCGAGUGGCGAACGGGUGANUNAUAUAUCGGAACGUACCUUAUUGUGGGGGAUAACGCAGCGAAAGCUGUGCUAAUACCGCAUAAUCCCUUAGGGGGAAAGCGGGGGACCGUAAGGCCUCGCGCAAUUAGAGCGGCCGAUACCUGAUUAGCUAGUUGGUGAGGUAAAGGCUCACCAAGGCAACGAUCAGUAGCUGGUCUGAGAGGACGAUCAGCCACACUGGGACUGAGACACGGCCCAGACUCCUGCGGGAGGCAGCAGUGGGGAAUUUUGGACAAUGGGGGCAACCCUGAUCCAGCAAUGCCGCGUGAGUGAAGAAGGCCUUCGGGUUGUAAAGCUCUUUUGUCAGGGAAGAAACAGCAGCUCUAACACAGUCUGCGAAUGACGGUACCUGAAGAAUAAGCACCGGCUAACUACGUGCCAGCAGCCGCGGUAAUACGUAGGGUGCAAGCGUUAAUCGGAAUUACUGGGCGUAAAGCGUGCGCAGGCGGUUAUGUAAGACAGGCGUGAAAUCCCCGGGCUUAACCUGGGAAUUGCGCUUGUGACUGCAUAGCUAGAGUAUGUCAGAGGGGGGUAGAAUUCCACGUGUAGCAGUGAAAUGCGUAGAGAUGUGGAGGAAUACCAAUGGCGAAGGCAGCCCCCUGGGAUAAUACUGACGCUCAUGCACGAAAGCGUGGGGAGCAAACAGGAUUAGAUACCCUGGUAGUCCACGCCCUAAACGAUGCUGACUAGUUGUUCGGGAAUUUAUUCCUGAGUAACGUAGCUAACGCGUGAAGUCAGCCGCCUGGGGAGUACGGUCGCAAGAUUAAAACUCAAAGGAAUUGACGGGGACCGCACAAGCGGUGGAUGAUGUGGAUUANUUCGAUGCAACGCGAAAAANCUUACCUACCCUUGAC